rnacentral:lncRNA from 1 species
AAUGAUUAUACUAUCUAUUUGUUAUGUUUGUUGUUUAAUCAAAACUUGAAGGUAUUUCAUGAAAAUGAUGAACAAAUACAACUACAAAAUUAAACACAAUAAGCUGAUAGAUUGUUUUCAAAAAAGUAGAUCUUUCUCCUUCAACUACAAAUUUGCAGCAACUAAAUUAGGAUAACAGUAGACUAUUUCUUCUUUCUAUGCAAUCCAGUCUUCUCAUUCAAAGUGGGAGCACCCUUCCUCCUUGAUAGCCUGCCUGUAACCUCACUUAUAUGGUGUAAAAUAAUGUCCAUUCUGCACAAAACAAAAAUUAUUUCUUCAUAAGCAACAACCAUAAUUAUAUAAUCUUUACAAGCUAACUACAACCUGUAGUUGUUUGUAUUAACAACCACAAUUAAUAUAAAAAUUAACGCAAUUUAACCACAUAGAGUUAUCUACAUGUAAAAAUACCUUAAUGGGAGAAACACUACAAAAAUAAUACAAAAUAACUCCCCUACCCGACCCCCUCCACAAAAUAACAUAUAAUCUCCAACAUAAUUACAUAAAAAUCACAAUACCCCAUUUGUAAAAUGUAUAUUUUAAACCCUAGCAUAUAACUACAGAAUAAACACUUCCGAACUACAGCACUAUAAAGUAGAUACAUUUCUAAAUUACAGUUCACAACUACAACUUAUACACAAUAUUUGGACCACAGAGGUGAUUGACUUCAACUAAACUACAAGAAAUAAAUUGUAACUUAAUAUCAACUAUAUUUAAACUAUGAAAUUAAACCAAAUGAUUUAAUAUCAACUUAAUAUCAGCUAUGCAUUCUACAGAAAUCAUGGUUCCAUUAAUAUACACAAGAAAAAAUAAAAUAAGUAUGUAAUUGUUAAAUAUCAAACCAAAUAAAAGACUGAGUUUUACGAUUAACAAAAUACUAAAAGUAAUCUUCUUGAUAUAAAAAAAGAAAAAGAACCUAACGCCUAAAAAUGAUAGAUAGAUUGGAGAGGGGACAACAAUUGAGGACAAUUUUUAACCAUUUUUUUUCUACAAAAAAAUUCAAUAAAUGAGAAGAGAGACAAAGGACAAAAGGANNNNNNNNNNNNNNNNNNNNNNNNNNNNNNNNNNNNNNNNNNNNNNNNNNNNNNNNNNNNNNNNNNNNNNNNNNNNNNNNNNGGGGGGGGGGGGGGGAUGAUCCGAAAGAGAAAAGAGAGAUCCGCUAUUUUUAUUGUCUUCUUCCACUCACCACCAUUAACGUCAAGUUCUUUAAACACUUCAUAACCAGCCCUUCAUCUCUUCAAUCCCAAUCAUUUUACACCCAAAACGUAGCCUCCUCAUCUCCGUCGGAUCAGCUCCACCAGUCAAUCACCUCCAGCUGCCCGUCAAACACCAACGACUAACUUUAGGAAUUUCUUGAGAGUUUUGAGGUGAUUUAUUGUUGUUUAUUGUUUACAACGACAAUUUUGAACGAAUUUGUGAGAAGAAAAAAUGGAGUGUAGUUGGAGAAGGAGGAAGGGUACGAGGUGGGGUGUAGUUGGUGGAGGAAAUUAGGGAAAAAGUUACUUUAAUUUAAAAAGUUAAAGCAAAUGUCAAAACUGAAUUAAUUGUGGGGAUUGAUGUUUCGGAAAAGGGUCAUAUAUGUCCUUCUACUUGUCAAAAUAAGCUAGAUUUAUCCUCCGUUAUACUAUUUGGCCAUAUAUGUCCCUGCGGUUCACAUCUCU